GGGUUGUGAGGUUAAGCGACUAAGCGUACACGGUGGAUGCCCUGGCAGUCAGAGGCGAUGAAGGACGUGCUAAUCUGCGAUAAGCGUCGGUAAGGUGAUAUGAACCGUUAUAACCGGCGAUUUCCGAAUGGGGAAACCCAGUGUGUUUCGACACACUAUCAUUAACUGAAUCCAUAGGUUAAUGAGGCGAACCGGGGGAACUGAAACAUCUAAGUACCCCGAGGAAAAGAAAUCAACCGAGAUUCCCCCAGUAGCGGCGAGCGAACGGGGAGGAGCCCAGAGUCUGAAUCAGUGUGUGUGUUAGUGGAAGCGUCUGGAAAGGCGCGCGAUACAGGGUGACAGCCCCGUACACAAAAAUGCACAUACUGUGAGCUCGAUGAGUAGGGCGGGACACGUGGUAUCCUGUCUGAAUAUGGGGGGACCAUCCUCCAAGGCUAAAUACUCCUGACUGACCGAUAGUGAACCAGUACCGUGAGGGAAAGGCGAAAAGAACCCCGGCGAGGGGAGUGAAAAAGAACCUGAAACCGUGUACGUACAAGCAGUGGGAGCACGCUUAGGCGUGUGACUGCGUACCUUUUGUAUAAUGGGUCAGCGACUUAUAUUCUGUAGCAAGGUUAACCGAAUAGGGGAGCCGAAGGGAAACCGAGUCUUAACUGGGCGUUAAGUUGCAGGGUAUAGACCCGAAACCCGGUGAUCUAGCCAUGGGCAGGUUGAAGGUUGGGUAACACUAACUGGAGGACCGAACCGACUAAUGUUGAAAAAUUAGCGGAUGACUUGUGGCUGGGGGUGAAAGGCCAAUCAAACCGGGAGAUAGCUGGUUCUCCCCGAAAGCUAUUUAGGUAGCGCCUCGUGAAUUCAUCUCCGGGGGUAGAGCACUGUUUCGGCAAGGGGGUCAUCCCGACUUACCAACCCGAUGCAAACUGCGAAUACCGGAGAAUGUUAUCACGGGAGACACACGGCGGGUGCUAACGUCCGUCGUGAAGAGGGAAACAACCCAGACCGCCAGCUAAGGUCCCAAAGUCAUGGUUAAGUGGGAAACGAUGUGGGAAGGCCCAGACAGCCAGGAUGUUGGCUUAGAAGCAGCCAUCAUUUAAAGAAAGCGUAAUAGCUCACUGGUCGAGUCGGCCUGCGCGGAAGAUGUAACGGGGCUAAACCAUGCACCGAAGCUGCGGCAGCGACGCUUAUGCGUUGUUGGGUAGGGGAGCGUUCUGUAAGCCUGUGAAGGUGUGCUGUGAGGCAUGCUGGAGGUAUCAGAAGUGCGAAUGCUGACAUAAGUAACGAUAAAGCGGGUGAAAAGCCCGCUCGCCGGAAGACCAAGGGUUCCUGUCCAACGUUAAUCGGGGCAGGGUGAGUCGACCCCUAAGGCGAGGCCGAAAGGCGUAGUCGAUGGGAAACAGGUUAAUAUUCCUGUACUUGGUGUUACUGCGAAGGGGGGACGGAGAAGGCUAUGUUGGCCGGGCGACGGUUGUCCCGGUUUAAGCGUGUAGGCUGGUUUUCCAGGCAAAUCCGGAAAAUCAAGGCUGAGGCGUGAUGACGAGGCACUACGGUGCUGAAGCAACAAAUGCCCUGCUUCCAGGAAAAGCCUCUAAGCAUCAGGUAACAUCAAAUCGUACCCCAAACCGACACAGGUGGUCAGGUAGAGAAUACCAAGGCGCUUGAGAGAACUCGGGUGAAGGAACUAGGCAAAAUGGUGCCGUAACUUCGGGAGAAGGCACGCUGAUAUGUAGGUGAAGUCCCUUGCGGAUGGAGCUGAAAUCAGUCGAAGAUACCAGCUGGCUGCAACUGUUUAUUAAAAACACAGCACUGUGCAAACACGAAAGUGGACGUAUACGGUGUGACGCCUGCCCGGUGCCGGAAGGUUAAUUGAUGGGGUCAGCGCAAGCGAAGCUCUUGAUCGAAGCCCCGGUAAACGGCGGCCGUAACUAUAACGGUCCUAAGGUAGCGAAAUUCCUUGUCGGGUAAGUUCCGACCUGCACGAAUGGCGUAAUGAUGGCCAGGCUGUCUCCACCCGAGACUCAGUGAAAUUGAACUCGCUGUGAAGAUGCAGUGUACCCGCGGCAAGACGGAAAGACCCCGUGAACCUUUACUAUAGCUUGACACUGAACAUUGAGCCUUGAUGUGUAGGAUAGGUGGGAGGCUUUGAAGUGUGGACGCCAGUCUGCAUGGAGCCGACCUUGAAAUACCACCCUUUAAUGUUUGAUGUUCUAACGUUGACCCGUAAUCCGGGUUGCGGACAGUGUCUGGUGGGUAGUUUGACUGGGGCGGUCUCCUCCUAAAGAGUAACGGAGGAGCACGAAGGUUGGCUAAUCCUGGUCGGACAUCAGGAGGUUAGUGCAAUGGCAUAAGCCAGCUUGACUGCGAGCGUGACGGCGCGAGCAGGUGCGAAAGCAGGUCAUAGUGAUCCGGUGGUUCUGAAUGGAAGGGCCAUCGCUCAACGGAUAAAAGGUACUCCGGGGAUAACAGGCUGAUACCGCCCAAGAGUUCAUAUCGACGGCGGUGUUUGGCACCUCGAUGUCGGCUCAUCACAUCCUGGGGCUGAAGUAGGUCCCAAGGGUAUGGCUGUUCGCCAUUUAAAGUGGUACGCGAGCUGGGUUUAGAACGUCGUGAGACAGUUCGGUCCCUAUCUGCCGUGGGCGCUGGAGAACUGAGGGGGGCUGCUCCUAGUACGAGAGGACCGGAGUGGACGCAUCACUGGUGUUCGGGUUGUCAUGCCAAUGGCACUGCCCGGUAGCUAAAUGCGGAAGAGAUAAGUGCUGAAAGCAUCUAAGCACGAAACUUGCCCCGAGAUGAGUUCUCCCUGACCCUUUAAGGGUCCUGAAGGAACGUUGAAGACGACGACGUUGAUAGGCCGGGUGUGUAAGCGCAGCGAUGCGUUGAGCUAACCGGUACUAAUGAACCGUGAGGCUUAACCUUACAACGCCGAAGCUGUU
rnacentral:rRNA from 1 species